rnacentral:rRNA from 1 species
UACGUAGGGUGCGGGCGUUACUCGGAAUUACUGGGCGUAAAGCGUGCGCAGGCGGUUUUUCAAGCCAGACGUGAAAGCCCCGGGCUUAACCUGGGAAUGGCGUUUGGGACUGAGAGGCUAGAGUGUGGCAGAGGGGGGUGGAAUUCCACGUGUAGCAGUGAAAUGCGUAGAGAUGUGGAGGAACACCGGUGGCGAAGGCGGCCCCCUGGACCGGUACUGACGCUGAGGCGCGAAAGCGUGGGUAGCAAACGGG